CAUACCCGCUGUGCACACUCACUCAAAAAUGAUAACAGAACUCCCUCUACCUCAGACAAGAGCAGAGACAGGCAAACAUUUUGGAGGUGAGGAGGGAGAGGGGGGUGAGGUGGAGGGCAAGCCCCUCCUUACGGCUGUAAAAGCAGGAGGAAAAAAAAAGAGACCGGAAAAAAAAAAGGGAGGAAGAAAGGAAAUCGCAGCCAUACGGGCUGCGCUCCCCCAGCUGAACUGUAUCUGCAUUUCAACGGUGGGAGAAAAGACGCUAUACGGCGAGGUGCUCCUCCCUCCGCCCUGCCAACCUCAUCUGUCAGCCAUUAGUUAAUCAGGGCUGGUAACACAGAGCACAGAGAGCUGGCACAGCUCGUGGGACCAGAGGACAGCUUCACCUCUGAGAGCAAGAAGAGGGCAAGGACUCAGGGACCUCUGCUUCACCGAUCUACAGCUGGGCUGCUUCACUCACCAGCACCCAUUCAGGACUGGCAGGCGUCAACCUCGACAUGACCCCACCCACUGCUUCACUGUGAACAGGCCGAAUUGAAACAUUAUCUCCCGACUCAGAUUUAAAUUAAAGCCAUGACAAGAAGAAGGGGGGACCUUCCAGCCACCGCCUCGAUCGCUCACACUCGACUGGCAUAUGGGCAGCAUCAGGAAACGCAAGCCCCAAUGAUGUCACGACCGUCUGACCCCGGGGUGACAGGUUUGGAGGGUGUUCUUGCCCACUGCCCCCCAGGCCAAAGUCAAGUAUGUCAACGUUGUGCAUGUGGGUUUCAUUUGAAGCAGCGUGAUUAGUUCACAGACGCUCAACUGCGACCCCCCCUUCCUCCUCCAUGGGAAACCCACUCUCGACAGGAAACGGUAUGUUUUUGUUAGCAACAAACAGGCAUAAAUUACAAAAAUGGAGCCUCGGUUGCCAAUUCAUCACACACAGCCUUAUUGUUACUGCUCGCACACGUUUGACAUCGACAUUGCUUUUAAGGUAAUUACUAUUAGUUAAUGAUAUUUGCAUUCCUGAUCGUUUAUGUUGAACUGUGUCUGCAAUCAUGAAUUUGUGCAAUAAAUGUGAUAAUUGCUUCGUGUCUUUUCUUCUUUAUAUAUGACAAAUGUGUUUUGAUGAUUUGGAAAAUGAACGCAGCUUUGACGACUAUCAAUCAAGAUAAUAAAUGAUUAAACAUCCAGGGAGAAAAAUGGAGGCAGAUUACUUUGGGGAAACAAACUAAAGCAAAGAUUUAAUUACAUUUAAAUUGUACUGCUGUUCUGUUAGUGAAUGCCAACAUAUAAAAUUACUCUUGUUGGUCAAAUGUUUUUGAAGGAGUAAUGCACAUUUGUGAAUAUUGUCAAGAUGGUAGCAUACCAUCAUUAAUAAAGCCAUUACCUCUUAACAAGGUUUAUUUCCAGGAUUUUAGCCUACGUCUGGAACACGAGAGGAAAUUUAACGACUUGUCAAAAAUGUCUUACAAGUAAUGAUAUCUGUAGCGUAAUAAAUACGUGAACUAAUUUCCCAAGAGGUGAUUAAGCAGUAUGAAUAAUGAGGAUUCUUUCUCGUGUUUUCAUGUGUAAGAUACAUUUAAGAAUACAUGUAUAUAUUGACGAGCUGCUGCUGCAAACUGAUGUGACUGAUACUGCCGGUGCAAGUUUUUUUAUUUCGCAUAGGCCUGCUACGGACAGAAGAGGCCACUGCACAAGGUAAGACGCACUCGGAAGCCAUGGGAGAUAUUUUGACAAUGUUACAUAAUACAAGAACCCCCGGACUACUUUAUCCUCCUCUGGCCUCUGGAAGAGCAUCCCCCACACGUUUGCCAUUUCACUAAGACAACGUUUAAUUUUUGGUUCCAUAAAAAGAUUAAAAUGUUUAAAAGAUUGUAUGAAUGCUUGCUGUAAUAUCUGAUAGAGGGGUUGGUGUAUAAAGGUAAUUUGAUAGCCAAUGUUUGCCUCUAAUUUAAGUCAUUUAGUUUAAUUACGUGUAUGCUUCACUACAUAGAGCUAUGUUAAAACUCUGCUGGUUAAUUAAAGGUUUGCAUUUGUAUAUUCUUGUAAUAUGAUCUGUAUUGAGUGGUUUGAAGGCUAUGGUAAAGUAUUUACUUCAGUUACUACAGUAUUUUAAUAUACAACCUGAUAUAUUCUCACACAGGUGCUUUAAAAAGCUAUGUUAAUGUGUGUUUUCCUUCAACGAGUGACCUCAGGACAAUACCAAAUACAUAAUUCAAUAAGCAGCUUUCUGUAAAUACUAGCUUUCCAGGGGCUUUCUCUUGGAUCUCCUCAGCUAAACAACCCUUGCCAGCAUGCAUUAAUACCAAUUAUUGUUGUAGUAAAAGUAAAACUUUGUCGGUCUCCUGCCAAAUGCGUUACAGAGAGCUCCAUUAAUGCAAUGGUAAACAGAUGUGCCACCCAGCGCCAAAGUUUGAUUUGGACCGUAUAUGUUUUCUCCAGGGAGAUUACAAAAUAAAAUGUGAAAACGCAUAAAAGGAAAAGGCCUGCAGGGUUUUUACACAACGUUAUGCAGAGGUAUGUGAAGUGCUCCAGAUACUAUAGACGCAGAUUUUAAGUAUGCCCCCCAAAGACUGAAUUAUUAUAAGGAUUACUGAAAAAGGCUGCUAUGAAGUCAAUUGAGGGUCAAAUACCAAAAUACCACAUAAUGACCUACAAGUCAAGUUCUUGCUAUGAGCUGUUUACAGUACCUCACCUACACACUAUACACUGCAUAAACUGUACUAUGCAUGCACCGCAGCAUAUCACUGUACUAUGAAACUACUGUGUAUAAAAGAACUGCUUUCCACUCUUAAAGCAAUAAACUAUAAUCUAAAUGUUACUUUUCUGCAGUGAACUGUGUCUUAUUUUGUUUUCCCAUCCUGUACUGCUGCUCCCCAGAGAGACAUCUGCAGGAUUUAUAUGUGUUCAUAACCUAGCAUAAGUCGAGCUCAGCCUGUUGAGUACAAAGCAAUUGCUCAAGCUGUUAAAGGUACAGUCCUGUAUUUUGUUUGCCGGCAAAAUAUCGCAUUGAGAAACAACACAAAUGUCACAGUUAUGUUUCUUUAAUAAUCUUUACAAUGGGAGAAAGCUAAUUCAACAUGUUUAUGUAUUUAUGCACGUGAAUGAAAUAAAUAGCAAAAAAAAAAAAAGAACAACAACCAACCAAAAUAUGCAAAAUAAAAUAGAGUUGUCCCAUUGAGUUUGGCAACUUUGCACCAUAGGGUUAGAACAAUUGAAGGAGUGGGUGUGAAACUGCCAUGGCUGAGGAGUCUUGGUUGUAGUGGAAGUCUUGGUUGAGAAUGACACACACACACACAGCGAGAAAAGCAAAGGAACAAAGAAGGAGACUGCAUACAUCCUUACUGAGAGGAUGCCGACAUAAAUACAGACCCAACUGCAACACUUCACCUGAAAUAUGUGUCACGAUAGUUUCACGUUGCCUUAACCAAAACAUAAUUCACACGUCACAGUUUAAAACUGCUCGCAGGAGCCUGAAUCUGCAAAGCUGCACCACCACUGCAAAGUGUCAGAGUGCCUGACUCAGAGUUAAACACAGACUGUACAUGGCAAAAAUACUGUAACUCCUGCUUUGAGUGAGCUGCACAUUUGCUGGGAUAAGUAAUAAGUUGUCACAGAGCUUUUAAACUCUGACCUUAAGGUGUAACUUGAUGCCUGGCUGAACAGCAGUAUGCAAUUGCUUAAUUGCACCUGCAAUCACAUCUAUCAGUGAUGUCAAGGUGCACUGACACACCAUGGAGUACACCUCUACAUCACUGCAGCAAGGCAGGGGUUAAAGGGAUAGUUUGGGUUUUCUCAAGUGAGGCUGUAUGGGGUCAAUAGUCAGUGUAUUACAUGCAGUAGAUGUCUGUAGGCGUGGCCCCAGAUUGGAAAAGCAUUAGGAGAGCUGACACGGAAGCUGGACAAUGUACUGCUGUGGAGGGGGCAGCAACAAAACAUAUUUUAGCCACUUAAAGAUGUCCCACCUAAAAAAAAGUAUACGCUAUACCACCAAACCCCAUUGACAAAAACAGUCAUUUUGGCUUGUUGUAUACAGCAGCUGCUGGUUUACCGCUGCCUCAUUCGGUUGGUUAGUUUGUGCUAUUUUGUGACUGAACUAAUCCUUUUAAAUGCCAAAGUCACACAAUAACACAAACAAUAUACAUUUUUGAAUCAGUGGUAGACCAGCAGCUCCUGUGUUUAGGAAUGCUAAAUCACUGUUUUUCUCAAUGGAGUCUGGCUUUGAAGAGAGCACAGAUGACGGCUUCAGUUCCUCGUCGGAAAUUGUUGUUUGACAAUAAGAUAAAGCUAAAACUUGCUAAAUAGGUGGCUUUAGGUGGCUAAAAUAGAUUUUAUAACUGACCCACCCACAGCAGUACAUUGCUUAGCUUCCGUGCCGACUGACAUCUACUGUACUGUAUGUGACACACUGAGUACCUCAAACAACCCCACUUCAAAAGCUCUGAACUGUCCCUUUAAACACCAAAGGUCAGAAAAAACAAGAUUUUCAGCAGGUGUUUAGUUGCUCUUUAAGGCUAUAACAAGUAAAAGCAAUAGGAGCAGCUUUGUUGGACCUUAUUAUUGAGAUAAAAAUCUGCUCUGCACGCUUUAUUCUGGCCGACUAGCCCGGGAGAUUCAGACGUAUAUAAUGUUGUGAUGCAGUAAACUGCCAAGUAUUAAUAGUUUCAACCUGCUUGCUUAUCCCAGUGGCAUGAUGUUUCAAGUUCACACUGGAAACAAAGCUGGCUGUAGAUUCUGAGAAUGUAUGUGACUCAGUACAACAGGGCCAAAGCCACUUAUACGGGAUUGUUACCCAUAAGCCUUUAUGGUUGCCCUCGGAGUGUUGAUAUCACUGAUCAGGACACAUGGCUGCAGACACUGACGGAAGUGGCCCAUCAUCUUUGCAUUGGUAGCGUUCAGGUGACGUGUGUAUAAUGACAAAUAAUUCAAGUAAAGUGUUGCAUCAAUGUAGACUGGAACAAAACAUUAAAGCUGCAACAAUUAAUAAUCUACUGUAAACAAAUAAAUAAUUUUCAUUUGAAAAAAAAAAAAAAAAAAAAAAAAUCCUUCAGAAAUACAAAAACUGGCCAAAGGAAUAAAGAGACACAGCAACAAAUGACUCGAACUUUAUAAGGCGGAGGUAUCUGUGUGCUUUAGUUUGCUUUAUGGACGACGAUGAAAGCUGAAAAGAGAGCGUCUCGAUGAUAACCCCGAUUUACUGCACGGACAGUUUCGUGUUCAGUAAGCUGCGCUGAUGCUGCUUACCAUUGACAGAAUAAAUAAAUUCAUUCUAAGCCUGGAAAUAUGAUAAAACUCUUAAUCUUCAUGAUACCGACAAUGCACCAUUAUAUAAUGUUAAAUUCAAUAGCACCUUAUCAUAAAGAAUAUUAACAUGACUAUGAAUUGCAUUUUAAAGUUGCUGUUUUUGUUCAUGCACUCAUCCAAAGUGCCCCCCCGACAACCAUUUUUGUGACAUUUGACAAAAACAACUGUUGUGCCCGAUGGCUUGAUUGUAUAUUAAGUAAGAACCAGGUAUAGGAAAAUGAAUGGUAAUUACAGUGUAGUUAAAAGCAUUAGGCCUGUUUUCCUAUGUGAUACAGACUACAUCAUAUACUGUUAAAUAUACUGUUGAAACUUAAAAUAACAGUUAAUAUCUUAAGAUAUUGCAAUUCUGCAUUGUAAGGCACUUACUUUUAACGUAGUUUUUGGGAUAUUAUUUUUUCAGAUGUAUUUGUAUCUUUUGUUUGAUAGUUUUAUUUACUUCUGUGAUCAUUUAAAAUAGUUUACCCUGACAGAGAUGAAGCCAUUCUAAAUUGCAAUUCAACUUAAGUAAAAAAGACAUUAUCAAAAAUACAAAUGAAACAUGUUUUGAAAAUAUUUUCCUCUGUACAAACUGUAUGUACUCAUCGAGAGAUACGAGAGGUCUGACCAAGAGCACCAGCGAAAAUAUUAAAUAGAAUAUUCAGUAACCAAAACUAGCUACUCGAAAAAUAAAAUCAUACUGUACAAAGAUACACAUACAAAAUGCACCGACAGUCAUUUGUUGCUGUUCAAUAAAGGUCAUAAUAUUAACUCUUAUACACAAAUAUACACUUGUGUACUUGGGAUACAGGGUGAAGACAGCAAUAACAACACAGAACAUUUACUUCACGCCUCAUAUAUGAAAUAAAUAUGUUCUAGAGUUACGCUUCUACAAAUAUAUGGCAUUGCUGGACAACACUGUCCUGAUUUAUGGGUCUUAAUUUGGAGCCUUAGCUCGAAAUGGGAUCCAUGUGUUUUUAAUGAUCCCUUAAGUGGAGCAGCAUUGUGUUUUUGUGUAUUUUUUUUUUCUUGAUUCUAAUCAGCACCAUGCCACUGCAGGGCCCAUCUGGGUGGGCUGAAGCUGAGCUAGCCCACAGUGGCGCUAGAUACCCAGCGCUCACUCCGGGAUCUCCUACAGUGUGAGGCUAAAGACACACUCAGUGCACACGUCUGAAGUCAUUUUAGCACACGAUGUCUACUCACAGUGACGCGCCCUCAGUGAGGAAGAUAAGUGUUGGAGGAAAACGAGU